rnacentral:rRNA from 1 species
GACGAACGCUGGUGGCGUGCUUAACACAUGCAAGUCGAACGGAAAGGCCCUUCUUGUGUGGGUUGCUCGAGGGGCGAACGGGUGAGUAACAAGUAAGUAACCUUCCCUUGACGUUGGGAUAACUGCAGGAAACGGGGGUUAAUACCGGAUAGGAUCUCCUGCUGCAUGGUGGGGGUUGGAAAGGUUCGGCGGUUGGGGAUGGACUCGCGGCUUAUCAGCUUGUUGGUGGGGUGGUGGCUUACCAAGGCUUUGACGGGUAGCCGGCCUGGGGGGGUGACCGGCAAAAUUGGGAUUGAGAUACGGCCAAGACUCCUCCGGGAGGCAGCAGUGGGGAAUAUUGCACAAUGGGCGGAAGCCUGAUGAAGCAAGGCGGCGUGCGGGAUGCCGGCCUUCGGUUUGUAAACCGCUUCCGCAUGGGACGAAGCGUGAGUGACGGUACUGGGUAAAGAAGCACCGGCUAACUACGUG